GUUAAGGUGGCAGAUCAGUGCAUAGGAUUUAAGAUCCUAUUAGAAAAUAUAUUAUUAUUUUUCUUAAUA
rnacentral:tRNA from 1 species